CCUGUUUAUAUACAUGUAAAUUAUGUGUGAACAGAUAACACAAAUUGUAUAAAUUGACGGUGUUGGGAUUUUUGUGUAUAAUUCAGUAAUCAGUGAAAGGGAUCCUCUGACUUUGGUCUCUGAGGGUCAGUGGUGGAGGUUGAUGAUAUCAAAUCGUUUGCCCUUGAAACCUCGUUAAGAUUUUGGAUGGAUUCUUAACUUACUUCUCAGCUUACUCAUUCCGGCCUCUGCAAACUUGUCGGCCAUGCGUUGGAGGUCGAGGACGUCUUCUAUUUCAGACUGGCAGUCACUAUCAAUUAUGGGAAAGUCGC